rnacentral:tRNA from 1 species
UGUUCCGCUUGGUAGAGCAACUCAUUCGUAAUGAGUAGGUCCGGGGUUCGAGUCCCCGACUCG